GUCUAUGGUCAUACCAACCUGAAUGGGCCAAAUCUCAUCUGAUCUUGGAAGCUAAGCAGGCUCAGGCCUGGUUUGUACUUGGAUGGGAGGAAAUAUAGUGUUCACAUAAA
rfam:Fukomys damarensis contig103752, whole genome shotgun sequence.